AGUAACGGCGAGUGAAGCGGUAACAGCUCAAAUUUGAAAUCUGGCUCCUGCGGAGUCCGAGUUGUAAUUUGUAGAAGAUGCUUUGGGAGGUAGGGCCGGCCUAAGUUCCUUGGAACAGGACAUCAGAGAGGGUGAGAAUCCCGUAUGCGGCCGCGGCCUACGCCCGUGUAAAGCUCUUUCGACGAGUCGAGUUGUUUGGGAAUGCAGCUCAAAAUGGGUGGUAAAUUUCAUCUAAAGCUAAAUAUUGGCCAGAGACCGAUAGCGCACAAGUAGAGUGAUCGAAAGAUGAAAAGCACUUUGGAAAGAGAGUUAAACAGUACGUGAAAUUGUUGAAAGGGAAGCGCUUGCACCCAGACUUGGGCGUCGUCGAUCAUCCGAGGUUCUCCUCGGUGCACUCGACGAUGCACAGGCCAGCAUCGGUUUGGGUGGUUGGAGAAAGGCUCUAGGAACGUAGCUCUCUUCGGGGAGUGUUAUAGCCUAGGGCGUAAUGCAGCCCAUCCGGACCGAGGACCGCGCCUUCGGGCUAGGAUGCUGGCGUAAUGGUUGCAAGCGACCCGUCUUGAAACACGGACCAAGGAGUCUAACAUCUAUGCGAGUGUUUGGGCGUUAAACCCAUACGCGGAAUGAAAGUGAA
rnacentral:rRNA from 1 species